GACGAACGCUGGCGGCGUGCUUAACACAUGCAAGUCGAACGGAAAGGCCGUGCUAUUGUGGUUUGCUCGAGUGGCGAACGGGUGAGUCGCACGUACGUACCCUUCCCUUGACUUUAAGAUAACUUCACGAAACUUGGGCUACUACCGGCUAAGAGCUCCUGCUGCGUGUUGGGCGUUGGAAAGUUUCGCCGGUUGGUGACGGACUGGCGGCGUAUCAGCUUGUUGGUGGGGUAGUCGUUUACUAAGGCUUUGACGGGUAGCCGGCCGGAGGGGGUGACCGGCAACCUUGCGAGUACGGUGACGCCGAGCAGACUACGGGGGGAAGCAGUAGGGAAUAAUGCACAGUGGGCGGAGGCCGGAUGCAGCAGCGCCGCCGCGGGGAUGUCGGCCGUCGGGUUGUAAACCGCUUCUGCUUGUGAAGAAGCGGGAGUGACGGUAAUGGGUAAAGAAGCACCGGCUAACUACGUG
rnacentral:rRNA from 1 species